UACAGAGGAGCCAAGCGUUGUCCGGAUUGACUGGGCGUAAAGCGCACGCAGGCGGGUGUGCGCGCGGGGUGUGAAAUCUGGCCGCUUAACGGCCAGGCGCCAUCCCAUACGGCACGCCUGGAGUGAUGCAGAGGUCGAUGGAAUUGCCGGUGUAGUGGUGAAAUGCGUAGAGAUCGGCAGGAACACCCAGGGGGAAACCAGUCGACUGGGCAUCUACUGACGCUGAGGAGCGAAAGCGUGGGGAGCGAACAGG
rnacentral:rRNA from 1 species